UACAGAGGUCUCAAGCGUUGUUCGGAUUCAUUGGGCGUAAAGGGUGCGCAGGCGGCCGGGUGUGUCAGAUGUGAAAUCCCGAGGCUUAACCUCGGAACUGCGUCUGAAACUACUCGGCUAGAGUACUGGAGAGGGUAACGGAAUUCACGGUGUAGCAGUGAAAUGCGUAGAUAUCGUGAGGAACACCAGAGGCGAAGGCGGUUACCUGGACAGUUACUGACGCUCAGGCACGAAAGCAUGGGGAGCAAAAGGG
rnacentral:rRNA from 1 species